CAAGAGUAGAUUACUGCAUAGACUUCUUUUCAAGUACACAAGGGAAUGACUGAAUUUCCUGGAAAGAGGUCUCUGCAGAGUCAUUCAGCGACAUACAAGGUUGUUGGCUCACUUCGAGAGGCUGAUUUUGGAAGGGAAUCUGGGGAGCUGAACAACAGAUAUAGGUCAUUAGGAAAACAAGAAGCUCUUUGUGCUGUUGAUCAAGUCAGAAGGUUGCACUGA
rnacentral:lncRNA from 1 species